CAUUUUGUUUUUUCUUUUCUUUUUAUCCGCCCGGAUUAUUUUGGCCGAAGGUGUUGGCCUCGAAACGAGCUUUCCGAAAAGUACUCACGGGCCCCGGGAUUCAAUCGGGAGCGAAAGUUAUGAACGCGAACGUAGAGACGCGCGAAUUAUGUUUGCCGAGCAAUUCUAAUUUUCUUAUUUCGUCGUAUUUAAGUCGUAUUCGGUUAAUUGAGUGGGGCUCGGGAAAUCGCGUUAAAGGAGUCGCUUAAAAGACGGAAGUUGAACACUCUAGAUUUCUCGCGGGAAUAGAAAUUAAGUCGCUUCAAGUAAAUUUGCAAUGCAUAACAUGAC
rnacentral:misc_RNA from 1 species